AGCUCAAAUCAUAGACCCGCACCGAGGCAAGGUGGUUUUCACUGAGGCAUCUCUCGACUCGACGUCUAUUACCGUGAAGAAUGUAACAUGGGCGGACGAAGCCUGCUAUAUUUGCUCCUUCAACGUUUACCCGAGUGGAUCAAGACGCAAGCAGAAGUGUCUUACAGUUCAAGGAGUAUCUGAAGUGAGAGCCACAAUGCAAAAAGUCCCCAGCACUGAACCUAAAGUAAACAUGGAAGUUGUGGUCAGCUGCUCAGCCACGGGAAAACCAGCACCUUGGAUCCAAUGGAACAUUUCUGCAGCGUCACUCAUAAAGACGCCUAACAACUGGACUGUCGUUAACAAAGACCAAACUGUCACAGCCAUUAGCAACAUCACCCUCCAACUGUUGCCAGGUUCAGGGGGAUACGUGGACUGUAUGGUAAACAAUGGGACGAGGACACAGAGACACGAGAGAGUCCUGCUUCCUGUUCUCCCUGGAGAGAGGGAGGUUGAAGAGGAUGACAGGAAGACAUCCCUGUGGGCGGUUGGCAUUCCAGUUAUCCUAAUCAUUUCCCUUUUAGUCAUCUUUAGCUGUGUCAAGCUUCA